rnacentral:rRNA from 1 species
GACAGAGGGUGCAAACGUUGCUCGGAAUUACUGGGCGUAAAGGGCGUGUAGGCGGGAAGGCAAGUCGGGCGUGAAAGCCCCAGGCUCAACCUGGGAACUGCACUCGAAACUGCCUUUCUUGAGUGCCGGAGAGGAAAGCGGAAUUCCUGGUGUAGAGGUGAAAUUCGUAGAUAUCAGGAGGAACACCAGUGGCGAAAGGCGGCUUUCUGGACGGUAACUGACGCUGAGACGCGAAGCGUGGGGAGCAAACAGG